AACGAACGCUGGCGGCAGGCUUAACACAUGCAAGUCGAGCGCCCCGCAAGGGGAGCGGCAGACGGGUGAGCAACGCGUGGGAAUCUACCCAUCUCUACGGAAUAACGCAUGGAAACGUGUGCUAAUACCGUAUACGUCCUUCGGGAGAAAGAUUUAUCGGAGAUGGAUGAGCCCGCGUUGGAUUAGCUAGUUGGUGAGGUAAAGGCCUACCAAGGCGACGAUCCAUAGCUGGUCUGAGAGGAUGAUCAGCCACACUGGGACGGAGACACGGCCCAGACUCCUACGAGAGGCAGCAGUGGGGAUUAUUGGACAAUGGGCGCAAGCCUAAUCCAGCCAUGCCGCGUGAGUGAUGAAGGCCCUAGGGAUGUAAAGCUCUUUCACCGGUGAAGAUAAUGACGGUAACCGGAGAAGAAGCCCCGACUAACUUCGUGCCAGCCGCCGCGGUAAGAC
rnacentral:rRNA from 1 species